CCUACGGGAGGCAGCAGUGGGGAAUCUUGCGCAAUGGGCGAAAGCCUGACGCAGCAACGCCGCGUGCGGGAAGAAGGCUUUCGGGCUGUAAACCGCUUUCAGCAGGAACGAAAAUGACGGUACCUGCAGAAGAAGGAGCGGCCAACUAUGUGCCAGCAGCCGCGGUGAUACAUAGGCUUCAAGCGUUGUCCGGAUUUAUUGGGCGUAAAGAGUUCGUAGGCGGUCGAGUAAGUCGGGUGUGAAAAUUCUGGGCUCAACCCAGAGACGCCACCCGAUACUGCUUGACUUGAGUUCGAUAGGGGAGUGGGGAAUUCCUAGUGUAGCGGUGAAAUGCGCAGAUAUUAGGAGGAACACCGGUGGCGAAGGCGCCACUCUGGAUCGAUACUGACGCUGAGGAACGAAAGCAUGGGUAGCAAACAGGAUUAGAUACCCUGGUAGUCCAUGCCGUAAACGGUGGGCACUAGGUGUGGGUUUCUAUUAACGAAAUCCGCGCCGUCGCUAACGCAUUAAGUGCCCCGCCUGGGGGAGGUACGGUCGCGAGAACUAAACUUAAAGGUAAAGUUAGACGGCGUGAGACGUGCCGACGGACGACGACGAGGGAGUAGG
rnacentral:rRNA from 1 species